rnacentral:rRNA from 1 species
AUGGACCAUUCCAUCCCUUAUUCCCGUGGCUAUGCAUCAGAUUCGGAUGACGAAGGUCCCGAUGAACAAGUUGAUGAGGAGGGGUUCACGGUGAAGGAGGCCGAAGCUUUUGAGAAGGUAUUCGGUCGUGAUCAUCGCACUACAUUGUUCAAGGAUGUUAGUCUCGCGGAUGAAGCCGUGGUAGAUGGUGGCCAAGGUAUAUCUCUUGGGGUUAGGCCAAGAUCUCAC